rnacentral:rRNA from 1 species
CCUACGGGUGACAGCAGUGAGGAAUAUUGGUCAAUGGCCGCAGGGCUGAACCAGCCAAGUCGCGUGAGGGAUGACGGUCCUAUGGAUUGUAAACCUCUUUUGUCAGGGAGCAAAGGGCGCCACGUGUGGCGCUUUGCGAGUACCUGAAGAAAAAGCAUCGGCUAACUCCGUGCCAGCAGCCGCGGUAAUACGGAGGAUGCGAGCGUUAUCCGGAUUUAUUGGGUUUAAAGGGUGCGCAGGCGGAAUGUCAAGUCAGCGGUAAAAUUUCGGGGCUCAACCCCGUCGUGCCGUUGAAACUGGCGUUCUUGAGUGAGCGAGAAGUAUGCGGAAUGCGUGGUGUAGCGGUGAAAUGCAUAGAUAUCACGCAGAACUCCGAUUGCGAAGGCAGCAUACCGGCGCUCAACUGACGCUCAUGCACGAAAGCGUGGGUAUCGAACAGGAUUAGAUACCCCAGUAGUG